CGGAGGAAGGUGGGGAGUGACGUCAAAUCAUCAUGCCCCUUAUGACCUGGGCUACACACGUGCUACAAUGGGCGGUACAAAGGGUCGCGAACCCGCGAGGGGGGAGGCCAAUCCCAAAAAAGCCGCUCUCAGUUCGGAUUGCAGGCUGCAACUCGCCUGCAUGAAGCCGGAAUCGCUAGUAAUCGCGGAUCAGCAUGCCGCGGUGAAUACGUUCCCGGGCCUU
rnacentral:rRNA from 1 species